UACUACGUACAACCGCGGUGGGAAACUGCAAGAUAAACGGCUUAUAUUAAAAAAAAAAAAUCAAAACCCAAACCAACAGGGACUCUCGUUUGCAGGUUCUUUUCUCAUCUUCAUCCUCAAGCUUAAAUCCUCCAUCAAGCUCCUAACAUUUUUUCUCCUUUCUUCAUCUUUUUCCUUUUUUUUUUUUUUUUUUGCACACGAUGGAGAGAAGCAUUCACAAAAAGUCAGGGGACAGUCUCAUGAUCUGGGUCAUAGAUGCCAGUGAAGUUUAGCCUAAAGAACCAAAAUUUACACUCAAAUCCAAUACAAAUGAGAGGGAGUGACAGGUCUCUAACUUUCCAAGAAUUGAAGUCAAAGGUGUGGCAUAAAUUACAGAGUUGGAAAUAGAAACUCCUCUCACAAACUAGAAGGGAAAUCUUAAUCAAAGCUGUUGCUCAAGUUCUACCGACAUACAUCAUGAGCUGUUUUAAACUCCCAAAGUUAUUGUGUAAAGAGUUGGAAUCUAUGUUUGCACGGUUUUGGUGGGGACAACGUCGAUUUGAAUGUAAGAUACAUUGGGUUAGUUGGACUAAUUUGUGUGAUUCAAAAUUGAAUGAUGCUUUGGAUUUUCAUAAUUUGGAAAAUGUUUAAUUUAUUUUUGCUUGUUAAACAGGGAUGGAGGUUUAUCACAAAUCCUGAUUCAUUAUUUUAUAAGGUGUUUAAGGCUAAAUAUUUCUCAUGUACAUCAUUUAUACAGUCAAAUAUUGGUUGCAAUGCUUCAUAUGUAUGAUGGAGUAUCAUUGCUACAAAGGGCAUCGUCUCAAAAGGCUGUAUAUGGAGGGUAAGAAGUGGUGAUUCUAUUCAUCUUUGGCAAGAUAGAUGGGUUGACACUUGCUUAGCACCUUUUGUUGAUGUCUGUUCUCAAAUACUCCUAGCAAAUGCUAUUAUGAAUGCUUUGAUGAAUCAA